UACGUCGGGUGCGAGCGUUGUCCGGAAUUAUUGGGCGUAAAGAGCUCGUAGGCGGUCUGUCGCGUCGAAUGUGAAAACCCGGGGCUCAACUCCGGGCUUGCAUUCGAUACGGGCAGACUAGAGUUCGGUAGGGGAGACUGGAAUUCCUGGUGUAGCGGUGAAAUGCGCAGAUAUCAGGAGGAACACCGGUGGCGAAGGCGGGUCUCUGGGCCGAUACUGACGCUGAGGAGCGAAAGCGUGGGGAGCAAACAGG
rnacentral:rRNA from 1 species